CUCACACCAUUAUUUAUAUAUCAAAAAAAGUUUUAUUUUCCAAAUUUGAGGGCCACCUUUACACAACUUAUAAUUUUCCCUAAUGAGAAGUUUCUGCACGAAUUUUUUUUAAUCGAAUUUUUUUUCUGCUUCCCCUGCUCGAUUUUUAUUUUUGCUUUUGCCCCCCCCCCAAAAAAAAAAAAUUCUCACGGUCAGCCCCUAAGCUAUUUGUAGCAACCAAAC